UACGUAGGGGGCUAGCGUUGUCCGGAAUCAUUGGGCGUAAAGCGCGCGUAGGCGGUCCGGUAAGUCUGCUGUGAAAGUCCAGGGCUCAACCCUGGAAGGCCGGUGGAUACUGUCGGACUAGAGUGCGGAAGAGGCGAGUGGAAUUCCUGGUGUAGCGGUGGAAUGCGCAGAUAUCAGGAGGAACACCUAUAGCGAAGGCAGCUCGCUGGGACGUAACUGACGCUAAGGCGCGAAAGCUAGGGGAGCAAACGGG
rnacentral:rRNA from 1 species